CCUGGAUUUAUUUUUCUCCAUUUCUCAGCUGGGCAGGAGAGACUGAACCACGGGUUAUUUUCCGUAAGACCUUGCCACAAAUCCUCCGGGGAGUCUGUGACAGUACUUGCUGACCGUGAUACUACCUUACUGAGAUACUUUGAUUGCACCCGUUUAGGUGCAAUGAUAAGUUUAUGGCUUCUCUUAUACUGCCAUGAAUGAUGUAGCGUGCUUCUGGUUUUGUUGGCAAUCAGGAAUAGUUCAGCAUUAUGCAAUUCUCAGGAACAAUGAACAGAUUGAUCAUCCUAUCCUGAUCACAGAAUGUGUGCAAUCCAGUUCAAUCUCCAGCAAAAAUGGCAGAACUUCUUUUCGAGACUCACGGAGUUCCAUCUGUAGAUUCUUGUGUCGAUGCUAUAUCAGCUGCGUGAGAUUUGUGAGAAAGAUACAUGGUCUAGCUAUUGGUGGAUGUAUAUCAGCUGCGUGGGAUUUGUGAGAAAGAUGGUCUACCUAUCUCUCCAGGGUCAACUCAUGCCAUUCCAUUUGUUGAUGGGGAGCCUGUUUACAAAGGAUGCUCCAGAACUAACAUCAGUGCGGUGGAUACCAUGUCACUGACAAUUUGAAGCAACUUCUUUCACUUAGGUAUCCUCAUCAUAUGCGAGUAUAGAUUCAGCUGGAUUGCAAGAAUCCAAACCUGUUUGCAUUAGAGAAUCUGAUAAUGUUGUCUAAAUGACUAUAAAGGGCUAGAUUCAUGUGGGAAAAGAUUUAAGAUGGAACACUGCUAUAUUACUCAAGAUUACGCUUUAGAAGCUCGAUUAUUCCAGGUAAUGGCUUUGGGUUUGUUUUUCCUUCUGUGAUCCUCUUUGCAACUGCCGAGAAAGGUAUAUUAUUAUAACAGAAAGGGGACCGCUCAUGUGGGUUCUGCGAAGAGGUCUUCCAGAAUUAAUGAACUUGAAAAUCAAUUGCAUGGAUUGGAAUUUCUUUUGCAACAACUUGAACAAGUUCAAGAGGAAGAAAUCCCUUUGUUCCUUUCGAAGACCGGUUAUGUUUCUAGACAGGAAAUAGAAUUAACUCUUGCAAAAGUAAGGCCAAGGCUGAACAAGCUGAAAAUAGUACUGGACCAGCCGUACAAACCAAUGGAAUUGAGAACUAGUUGACUAUCUGGUCCAACGUUGUAUAUAAACACGGCUUUCCAAUGAACAACAUAGAAUCGGUUUAACUAGUUUAAAAUCAGUUGCGAGUACUAUACACACAUACACACUCUUUAGAAUUAAUAUUUGUGUCAUUCCUUUAUCAAUUAUCUUAUUGCUCGGCAUUCUUCACUAUGGCUUUUUUAUGUAGAACAGCUGCUCUUUCACCGACCACAUCGAGGCACUAAACAAGGAGAAUGGAUAUAGCAAUGUUCGUUAAAGACAAAUUUCUUAGAAUCUGCGAGAGCUUAGCACAAAAAAUGCUCAGCAAUGCAGAUCAUUCUCUCGUAUUGGUCAAUAUGCCCACUGCUGCUAACCUAGAUGAUGCAUCAAGUUUGCGCUUACGGUUCAGCUCUGACAUUUUGAACAGUUCAAUUCCUUGUUUAAUUACCGUUACUGUUGAAGGCAAGUACUCCGAUCCAUUAAAGUUUUCGCCCUGAAUCUGUUAAACAGAAUAUUCAAUUUCUUAGUUGAACCUCUCCUUAUUUAAAUCAUUUUUGGUGAGUUUAGUAGAAAUUAAGGGCACUGUCAAUGUCUUGGGCAAUCUGAGACGGGGAUUGAAAGUCGGAUUUCGAGCUUAACUGUGACGUAUCUGAAA